AGUGAACGCUGGCGGUAGGCCUAACACAUGCAAGUCGAACGGCAGCACAGGAGAGCUUGCUCUCUGGGUGGCGAGUGGCGGACGGGUGAGGAACACAUCGGAAUCUACUCUGUCGUGGGGGAUAACGUAGGGAAACUUACGCUAAUACCGCAUACGACCUACGGGUGAAAGCAGGGGACCUUCGGGCCUUGCGCGAUUGAAUGAGCCGAUGUCGGAUUAGCUAGUUGGCGGGGUAAAGGCCCACCAAGGCGACGAUCCGUAGCUGGUCUGAGAGGAUGAUCAGCCACACUGGAACUGAGACACGGUCCAGACUCCUACGGGAGGCAGCAGUGGGGAAUAUUGGACAAUGGGCGCAAGCCUGAUCCAGCCAUACCGCGUGGGUGAAGAAGGCCUUCGGGUUGUAAAGCCCUUUUGUUGGGAAAGAAAUCCAGCUGGCUAAUACCCGGUUGGGAUGACGGUACCCAAAGAAUAAGCACCGGCUAACUUCGCGCCAGCCGCCGCGGUAA
rnacentral:rRNA from 1 species